ensembl:lncRNA
GUUGAGGUGGGUGCUGCUCAUGAUCAUCUAGUCUAGGUGGGUUAGGGGUUAGGGGUUAGGUGGGUGCUGCUCAUGAUCAUCUAGUCUAGGUGGGUUAGGGGCUAGGGGUUAGGGGUUAAGGGUUAGGUGGGUGCUGCUCAUGAUCAUCUUGUCUAGGUGGGUUAGGGGUUAGGGUUAGGGGUUAGGUGGGUGCUGCUCAUGAUCAUCUAGUCUAGGUGGGUUAGGGGUUAGGGUUAGGGGUUAGGUGGGUGCUACUCCUGAUAAUCUUGUCUAGGUGGCUCGUUGAUCAACACCGAUCAGAACAUUUUGACAGCAUGUUAUUUAGGUUUUGCUCUUCACUUCAGUCGCUUAGUAACCGAGACGUACUCCAAAAGGCUGGGACUUCACUGACUGGUCUGAUAAUCAAUCAUUGUGAUUUUGUUUCACUGAAUCUCUGUCUGUAUAAUCAAUCAAUGUUAUUGUGUUUC